rnacentral:snoRNA from 1 species
CGCAGGAUGAACCAUACGACUAGGGACAACUGAAGUGCUGUGAAGCAAUCUUCUUCUUCUGAGC